rfam:Triticum aestivum genome assembly, contig: Triticum_aestivum_CS42_TGACv1_scaffold_592241_7BS
UUUAUACUCCCCCCGUCCCAAAAUUCUUGUCUUAGAUUUGUCUUGAUAAGGAUGUAUCCAGUUACGUUUUAGUGUUAGAUACAUCCGUAUCUAGACGAAUGUAAGACAAGAAUUUUGGGAUGGAGGGAGUAUUUC